rnacentral:rRNA from 1 species
GAUGAACGCUAGCGGCAGGCUUAAUACAUGCAAGUCGAGGGGCAGCGGGGGUAGCAAUACCUGCCGGCGACCGGCAAACGGGUGCGGAACACGUACACAACUUUCCUUUAAGUGGGGGAGUAGCCCAGAGAAAUUUGGAUUAAUACCCCGUAAUAUUAUGAAGUGGCAUCAUUUUAUAAUUAUAGCUCCGGCGCUUGAAGAUGGGUGUGCGGCUGAUUAGGUAGUUGGCGGGGUAACGGCCCACCAAGCCUACGAUCAGUAACUGGUGUGAGAGCACGACCAGUCACACGGGCACUGAGACACGGG